UACGUAGGGUGCGAGCGUUAAUCGGAAUUACUGGGCGUAAAGCGUGCGCAGGCGGUCCGCCAAGUCAGGUGUGAAAUCCCCGGGCUUAACCUGGGAAUGGCAUUUGGGACUGCAAGGCUGGAGUUUGGCAGAGGAGACUGGAAUUCCUGGUGUAGCAGUGAAAUGCGUAGAUAUCAGGAGGAAUACCGAUGGCGAAGGCAGGUCUCUGGGCUAUAACUGACGCUCAUGCACGAAAGCGUGGGGAGCAAACAGG
rnacentral:rRNA from 1 species